CCUGCCUUGACAACCGCCGUGUACUAACGAUAAUGGCUCAGGGAGCCUGGAUGGCUAGAGGGUGGCACGACCCCCCAGAGCCGAAACUUGGUCAAACUCGGUCAUUUAGAGGAAGUAAAGUCGUAACAAGGUUUCCGUAGGUGAACCUGCGGAAGGAUCAUUACCGAGUGAGGGCCCUUUGGGUCCAACCUCCCACCCGUGUUUAUUUUACCUUGUUGCUUCGGCGGGCCCGCCUUUACUGGCCGCCGGGGGGCUCACGCCCCCGGGCCCGCGCCCGCCGAAGACACCCCCGAACUCUGUCUGAAGAUUGAAGUCUGAGUGAAAAUAUAAAUUAUUUAAAACUUUCAACAACGGAUCUCUUGGUUCCGGCAUCGAUGAAGAACGCAGCGAAAUGCGAUACGUAAUGUGAAUUGCAAAUUCAGUGAAUCAUCGAGUCUUUGAACGCACAUUGCGCCCCCUGGUAUUCCGGGGGGCAUGCCUGUCCGAGCGUCAUUGCUGCCCUCAAGCCCGGCUUGUGUGUUGGGCCCCGUCCUCCGAUUCCGGGGGACGGGCCCGAAAGGCAGCGGCGGCACCGCGUCCGGUCCUCGAGCGUAUGGGGCUUUGUCACCCGCUCUGUAGGCCCGGCCGGCGCUUGCCGAUCAACCCAAAUUUUUAUCCAGGUUGACCUCGGAUCAGGUAG
rnacentral:rRNA from 1 species